ACCUAUAAACACAAAUACCCUCAAGACAUCAGAUCCCAUCUAAUCUUGGAAGUUAGGCAGUAAUUAGCCCUGGUUAGUACUUAGAUAGAAACCUGCCAAUAAAUACCAGGUGCUGUAGGGU
rnacentral:rRNA from 11 species